rnacentral:lncRNA from 1 species
AUUUGAAUCUAGGAAUCAUAGUAUGUUUCUCAAAUAGGAAAUAAGUAAGGUAUUUCAUUGUUGACUUGAAUAUGUAGAUUUGGCUAUGAUUUUAAGCCACCAUGACAUAUUUUAUUUCUUCCUCUGUAAUUAUUCUUAGCUCAGUCUAUAUGUGAUUUGUGUACCAGACUUGGAUAUAAUAAUAAUAGAAAAAGACUAACACUGUGCUCUGCCUUGAAUCGUUGGAAUUUUCUAUGUUAUACGUAAAAAAAAAAAAACAUUCACUGCAGUGUUAUGUCUGGCCCAGGCUAUGAGUGAAGCUUCCUUCGGGAGAAUUUGUUCCAUUGCUGUUCCAGCAGGUUUUCAGCAUCAGUGAAAUGAUUGUGCCGUCAUGAGCUGGAAUACUGAGACGGGGAGAUGUAUUAGAUCAUUGAAGUCCAUCACAGGAAUGAGGCCAUAACAUGCUCUCUUAGUCUUCAAGUAAAAGUUUGUAUAGGCAUGGCCGAUCUUUAAAGUCAAAUCCUUCAGUGAAAAACUUCUGAUGCAAACAACAAUAUCGAAAGGAUUCAGUAGCUGCCUCUACGCUAACCAGAACCACCACUCAUACUUUUCCAAGAUGAAAGGAAGAAAGGAUAUGAGCAUGGAAGAAUCAUAGUCCAGCUACUCCAUGUGGAGAGAGCAGGAAUCUAAGCAUCCGCGAUAACGCGCCCACUGCAGCAGCUGCCCAGGGUUGAACAUCACGGUGCAGAGCUGCAGGCGACCACGACAGCACCAGACGGCUGUUCUACCACUGUGUUUAAAUUCUCUCAUCACCAAGCUAUAAGGAGCGUAACACGUUCAGCACCGAAGGAAAAGACUGGCAGCUGUAACUCGGGGAUGAGGAGCUGGACGGUAGAGGCAAGAAACUUGCUGCAUCUGCCUGAGAGAACCCAUCAUGCUGGCUGAAGGAUCCCAAGCACAGCAGCAUUUGUGCCAACGAG